AAAACUUUUCGCUAAUAGAAGAGCCUAUGUAGGAUUAGGUAGUUGGUAUUUUGGGUAAAAGCCUACCAAGCCUAAGAUCCUUAGCUGUUCUGAGAGGUUGAACAGCCACACUGGGACUGAGACAAGGCCCAGGCUCCAUUUGGAGCCAGCAGUGAGGAAUUUUGGACAAUGAGCGAAAGCUUGAUCCAGCAAUACUACAUGAGUGAAGAAGGCUUUCAAGUUGUAACACUCUUUGGUUGAGGAGGAUAAUGACAGUACUCAACAAAAUAGCCCCGGCUAACUUCGUGCCAGCAGCCGCGGUAAGACGAAGGGGGCGAGCGUUAUCCGGAAUGACUGGGCGUAAAGGGUCCGUAGGCAGCAUUUUUUGUUGGAAGUUAAAUAAAAAAGCUUAACUUUUUUCCGCUUCUAAAACGUAAAUGCUUUGAGUUUGAUAGAAGAUAGCAGAAUUUCACAAGGAGGGGUGAUAUCCAGAGAUCUGUGAAGGAAUAUCAGAUGCGAAGGCGGCUAUCUAGAUCAACACUGACGUUGAGGGACGAAAGCAUGGGGAGUAAACAGGAUUAGAUACCCUGGUAGUCCAUGCCCUAAAAGAUGAGUGUUCGUGCUUAGAGAACUUUAGGCACUUAGUUAACACGUUAAACACUCCGNCUGGGGAGUACGAUCGCAAGGUUGGAACUCAAAGGAAUUGACGGGGGCCUAUACAAGUGGUGGAGCAUGUGGUUUAAUGCGAUAAUACGCGCGAAACCUUA
rnacentral:rRNA from 1 species